rnacentral:rRNA from 1 species
AGUUUGAUCCUGGCUCAGGAUGAACGCUGGCGGCGUGCCUAAUACAUGCAAGUCGAACGAAUCUCUUUUAGAGAUGAGUGGCGAACGGGUGAGUAAUACAUAGGUAACCUGCCCCUGUGCGGGGGAUAACAGGAGGAAACUCCUGCUAAUACCGCAUAGCCAUGAGCACCGCAUGGAGCUCAUGCCAAAUAUCCUUUAUGGGAUAGCGCAGGGAUGGACCUAUGGCGCAUUAGCUGGUUGGCGGGGCAACGGCCCACCAAGGCAACGAUGCGUAGCCGGCCUGAGAGGGCGGACGGCCACAUUGGGACUGAGACACGGCCCAGACUCCUACGGGAGGCAGCAGUAGGGAAUUUUCGGCAAUGGGGGAAACCCUGACCGAGCAACGCCGCGUGAGCGAAGAAGGCCUUCGGGUCGUAAAGCUCUGUUGUAAAGGAAGAACGGCGCAUACAGGAAAUGGUAUGCGAGUGACGGUACUUUACCAGAAAGCCACGGCUAACUACGUGCCAGCAGCCGCGGUAAUACGUAGGUGGCGAGCGUUAUCCGGAAUCAUUGGGCGUAAAGAGGGAGCAGGCGGCCGCAAGGGUCUGUGGUGAAAGACCGAAGCUAAACUUCGGUAAGCCAUGGAAACCGGGCGGCUAGAGUGCGGAAGAGGAUCGUGGAAUUCCAUGUGUAGCGGUGAAAUGCGUAGAUAUAUGGAGGAACACCAGUGGCGAAGGCGACGGUCUGGGCCGCAACUGACGCUCAUUCCCGAAAGCGUGGGGAGCAAAUAGGAUUAGAUACCCUAGUAGUCCACGCCGUAAACGAUGGUCACUAAGUGUCGGGGGUCAAACCCCGGUGCUGCAGUCAACGCAAUAAGUGACCCGCCUGAGUAGUACGUUCGCAAGAAUGAAACUCAAAUGAAUUGACGGAAGGGC